CCAAAUGCAAAGUUGUUCAAAUCAAGAUGUACUGUUCUAGUUCGUGAUGUGAAGAAUGCACCACUAAAGGUUAAAGAAUGGGCUUAUAUCAAAAUAGAGAACAAAAUAAAGAUGUUUGACCUAGUUUUAACAUACUUUAAAGUUGAAGGUCGAAAGCAUUUAGUAUGGACUCAAAUGAAUUCUUCUUAUCGGAGUUAUCGACAUCUACUAAAGAAAAGGUAU